CCGAAAUAUCGUUAAAUAUUGCAAACGUGAGAGCGCACUCGUGGAAAGAAUGGAUUAAAACGAUGUGAAUAAUAUGAAAUACUCAGUGAUUUUAUUAUUGUGUUAAAGAGGUUAUUGUACCGCAAGUCGAGCAUGAACUGCAACCGCCAUUCUAACUGGCAUAUCGGUCUAUAUUUUGUCUGUUUUCCAGACAGAAGUAAAUAACAACAAUGUGUUGUGUUAUUAAAUCGUUUCGAAUCGAUUCUUCGAUACUGAGGCAACAAUUUUUCUGUUUGGAGGAAACUGCUUGUGACGACAGAUACAGUUAGUCAUUAGGAAAGUCGGAUUUUAGGCACACAACUCACUGCAGCCUGUAAAAAUUAUUGUACUAUCCUGUAUUCUUAUGUAAGAAGGUUGAAUAUAGAUCUUAUAGCCCUGUCACUUCAUAACUCUCGAAGUUUGAAAGGGAUAGCCCUUCGAUCUCAGCUAUCAUGCUGUCAAUCCCACAUUCAACCUUAGAACAUAGAUACAUCUAUGUUCUAAGCAUUCGACAGACUCUUCAUGUCAUGUCAUUUUCUGUGUGAACUGAUUUUUACUAGGAAUAAAUUUUUACUUGAAACUGUGAAAUUGAUGAAGAAAUGGGUAAAAGAAUCAGUUGGAUAAGUGGAUAAACAUUUAGAUUUCUCAUAUUUGAAGGUAACUUCUGAAUCAGUCUCCAAAUUUCUGAAAUUCCGCAACUUUUGUGGAUCAGUAUAUAUGAAUAUUGUUACCCUGAGGCUUCAAGUGACACAAUAUCAUCCAGAGGCUCCAAAUUGUCUACAGACACAGACAUGCAUCUUGUACAAGCCGUGGAUACGUGGCUAGACAAAAUACAUAUUCAUCAAUCAUCUUCAGGGCAAGAAAGGAAGUGGAGGAGACAAAUCUGGGACGUUGGAAAAACCGGAAGUGAUGUAGCCGGAUGUACGGUACCUGGACGGAGGAGUGCAUGCGAGAAUUGAGGUCGCAAUAUGAAUAUUAUUCAACAAAAGAGAGACUGCACAAAAUAGUGAGAAGACAAAGCUGGAAAACUGAUCGAAGACAAGAUAAAUUCAAUCUUCAACCCUUCAGAUACUAGUCUGUUAAAUGUAUUGACUUAAAAAUCGUCCAUGACUAAGAUCAAACUGAAUUGAUAAGAAGAUUCUGAUCGUUUUCUCCUGAUCAACAGUAGUCAUGAUCAGGUAUUUCCUCGAAAAGUACAACGUGAUUUUUAGCACGAAGUACUGAAUAAACAUUCUUAAUCAUUCUUACGACAUUAAUUCAACUUCUCAUUAUAGUAGGCUGCAACACUUUAAAGAAUUUCAACCGUGAACUUUCCAGCUAUGGUGGAAUUUCGAAAUGUUUCAACGCAGUCUUUGUUUAUUUUUGCUCUAUUGGGAUAGUCCAGGGCGUCCUUCGUUCAACAUUUUCUAUUUAAACAGAGUUAUCAAGUCUUCCUCAUCGAAAUUGAA